rnacentral:lncRNA from 1 species
CUGGCAGUCAGAUUUGAUUCCCUACUUAGAAAUGUAUUUUCACUAGGUAAAGAAAGCUCUUUAUGGUUCACUGAGGACAAUCCCUUCACAAUCUAGAACCUGAUUGGAUCUUCUGAGAAUAUCAGAGAAAGACUGUCCUUGCCAUCCACACUACAGCAAAACUGGAGCCUUGAACUUUGGGGUCAUAAUCUCACAACUGAGAAGAGUUCCUCCACACUCCUGGAACUGUACCUCCAUUGGUACCCUUAAGCCUCCAACUGCAAUUCUCAACACACGCUUAACACUACUAUCCGCCAGUGAGGAAGGACUUUCCACGACUUCUGAAGCAACAUAUUAAGGACAAAGAAUAAACACAGAAGAAUCAGGUAUACUCGCAAGAGGAAGAAGAGGUCAGGAAAGCCUUCACAUAAGAAGUGGUGCUUCUUGAAGGAACAGAGGUGCUUCUUGAAGGAACAGAACCAUGUGCCUGCCUCACCUUGCUGUUCUGAAGAUUUAGUAACAUCAUUUAUUUCAAGCAUUCAGCAUACCUGCAGUCCACAAAUGUUAGUGAAAAACAAAUGUUUUUGUUGGUUGUUUUAUUAUUCCACAGUGACCCUCUGAAUCUGUCAGAAUUCUCGAUGCCAAACAACAAAAACUUCCUCCGGGUAAUCUAAGCAGAAGAGAAAGUUAUUGGAAGGGUCUUAGAGAGCGCAGUGAACCAACAGGAAGCAGGCUCCAUACAGUGGCAGGAACCAAGCGAGGCUGGGCAGUUGAGGACACAGCCGAGGCCAGCCCAGGAGCAGUCUGGUUAGGUUGAUGCCAUGCGACAACCAGGGUGGUUGUCAGCCAUCCCCGGAACUGUGCGUCACUCCCUCAGGGUGUCACACCCUUGGUGAGAGAACCCAUCGGCUAAUCCAGGUCAAUUUACACAGAAGGAAGUAGGGCCCUUGUUUCUAAGAAAAAUUACAUUCCAGGGCCUAUUUUUUUUUUAUUUGUUUGUUUUUUGAG